GACGAACGCUGGCGGCGUGCUUAACACAUGCCAGUCGAACGGUGAAGCGCCUUCCUUUUUGGUGGGUGUGGAUGAGUGGCGAACGGGUGAGUAACACGUGAGUAACCUGCCCCCUUCUUCUGGAUAACCGCAUGAAAGUGUGGCUAAUACUGGAUAUUCUGGGUCUGUCGCAUGAUGGGUCUGUGAAAGUUAUUGUUUCGGUGGGGGAUGGGCUCGCGGCCUAUCAGCUUGUUGGUGGGGUGAUGGCCUACCAAGGCGGUGACGGGUAGCCGGCCUGAGAGGUUGGACGGUGCAAGUGGGGAAGCGCCUCGGGCCAGACUACUACGGGAGGCAGCAGUGGGGAAUAGGGAACAAUGGGAGCAGGCCUGAUGCAGCGACGCCGCGUAAGGGAUGGAGGCCUUCGGGUUGUGAACCUCUUUCGCCAGUGAAGCAGGGCUGCCUCGUUUGUGGGUGGGUUGACGGUAGCUGGAUAAGAAGCGCCGGCUAACUACGUG
rnacentral:rRNA from 1 species